rnacentral:rRNA from 1 species
UACGUAGGGCGCAAGCGUUGUCCGGAAUUAUUGGGCGUAAAGAGCUCGUCGGUGGUUUGUCGCGUCUGCCGUGAAAGCCCGGGGCUUAACUCCGGGUCUGCGGUGGAUACGGGCAGACUAGAGGCAGGUAGGGGAGAACGGAAUUCCCGGUGUAGCGGUGAAAUGCGCAGAUAUCGGGAGGAACACCGGUGGCGAAGGCGGCUCUCUGGGACGGUACUGACGCUGAGACGCGAAAGCGUGGGGAGCGAACAGG